CGUUAACGGUUUUUAACGUUAACGGUUGCUCAUGCUCUCAGAACAUAAUUUUCAGGACACAGAGAUGGCAUCUGCUCUUUAUUAUUUCAAAGACAAGACUGUGGAAGUUGGGAAAUCUUCCUGGAUAAGUCCUAUCGAUCAACAACAAUGUCCGAAAAUAUUCACUGAGUGCCCGAACCUGGAAGAUGAAGAUGGAAGAUGAAGAUGGGUGGAUAUAAAGUGGGACAUCAAAAGGAGAAAAAAGUCGGACGGUCCAACUUUUGAUGACAACUACAGUGACCUCUGAAAGAAGAGACAUGAAUUCAUAAAUGGUGAAGACAUCUGGCAAGAAACACCCAAGAGGAAGAGCAAACCAAACAGCAAGUGGAAAGAUGUGGCAGAGGAGGACCAUGAAGUUCAAACAAAAAAGUCUAUGCCCAGGCGAAGUUCCCCGACACCUCCAUGCAAGAUGUCAGACGGAUCAUUAGAAAGAAUGCAACAAUAUAAGCGAUUUUAAAGCAACUAAAUGAAAAGAAGUCAUAAAAGUAGUGUUUCUGUCAGGAUAUUUUUGUUCCAAAAAUGUGUACUUUUUUCACCUUCUUUUGACAACCAAGAACUUCAGUUCUCAGUUCUUAUUUAGUUCUUAGCUGGAAACAUACUUUUGUUUAGAUCUUUGAUGAUAAUUGCAGUUUUUCUUGUUCCAUUUUUCACAAAGAAUGACUUCCUUGUG